rnacentral:rRNA from 1 species
AUACGUAGGGGGCAAGCGUUGUCCGGAAUUACUGGGCGUAAAGCGCACGCAGGCUGAAUUAUAAGUCGGUAGUCAAAGGCGGAGGCUCAACCUCUGUAUAUCUAUCGAUACUGUAAAUCUGGAGUAUGUGAGAGGGAAGCGGACUUCCCGGUGUAGCGGUGAAAUGCGUAGAUAUCGGGAGGAACACCAGUGGCGAAGGCGGCUUCCUGGCACAAUACUGACGCUCAUGUGCGAAAGCUAGGGCAGCGAACGGGAUUAGAUACCCCGGUAGUCCUAGCCGUAAACGAUGGAUACUAGGUGUGGGUGUCGCAGGGCAUCCGUGCCGCAGUUAACGCGUUAAGUAUCCCGCCUGGGGACUACGGUCGCAAGACUGAAACUCAAAGGAAUUGACGGGG